UCCCAUAAGGCCGCAUCACAGCGGAGAGCAGUAAACAACAUUUAUAAUAGAUAUCGCUACCUACCUGGAUGUGGUGCUCAAUGAGUACCUUCGAGCUCAACACAUGCUUUGCCAUCGUGAAAUGGCAAAUUAGGAAUGCUGCAAAGAAAAGUGGAGCCUUGCUAGAGGGGCUUGGUCAUCCUCUUCACUUGGGCUGCUGGACAUUUUACAUUUUUUUGCGCUUUUGUCUUCCUUCUUUUUUUUGGUUUCAAAAUACACUCUAUUCUUUAUCGCAGACGUACAGGUGCUCUUAAAGGGAAUGUUGAAUCCUUAUUGGUUGUAACCUCACUCCACCACUGUGCUUUGAUUGGCUGGGCGCAUGAUGAAACUGCACACGCCUGUGAUCAUUUACUCAAACAAAAUAAUUUGGAAUCACGAACACAUUUGCCAGUAGUUGGAUGCUACUGGUCUGAAGUAAACAGUGAGUGAAAAAUGUGCCAAUGCAGAGAAGACAAGGACUCAGUGAAGACGGUUAUGGAUCUACUCUCCACAAUACCAUGGGAGAGGAGCUCUAUUUGUAAUUCAAACUAUCGGCCACUGUAACAGACGCUUUUUGUGACGAUAAACCAACAAGUGCUCAAAAUGGGAUGCUUCCUGGAUGGAUUCAGGGAAUAUUCUGUACCUUUUCAAUGGAAUUUGAUCUAGAGACCGUUUAGACGUCGCUCCCCAUUGUUUUAUCCUCGUAUACAAUAUCUCUGCUUGUUACUCGUGCACUUAUGCUUUGUUUUAUAUUGGAAUUGUCUUUUUAAAUAAUGUAGUGGGAUCAAUGUAGUUUAUGCUGAUAGUGAAGAUAAUAAAGAAAUCUGUAAUCUCAUAAGUUUAUUCUUAUUUGGUCAAAGAAGCUUGCCAGGGAUCAAUGUCUUUGGUUCUCAUAUUUCUGAAGAGAUCCGACAUGCACAAUUUCAUUUCAUACUUCUGAAGAGAUCCAUAACCUUGACCCUUGUUACUGUUCUUCUUUUUUCAAAACACAGUCAUUGAAAGUGUAUUUUCAUGAACAUGUUCAU